AUUGAACGCUGGCGGCAGGCCUAACACAUGCAAGUCGAGCGGAGCGGCGAAAGGGGGAGUAAUGCCUAGGAAUCUGCCUGUUAGUGACGGAUCAAGUCCAGAAACGUGCGCUUAUAACGCAUACUAGAAGGUGAGCCUAGGGCGUAUUAGCUAGUUGGUAGGGUAAUGGCCUACCAAGGCGACGAUCCGUAACUGGUCUGAGAGGAUGAUCAGUCACACUGGAACUGAGACACGGUCCAGACUCCUACGGGAGGCAGCAGUGGGGAAUAUUGGACAAUGGGCGAAAGUCUGAUCCAGCAACGCCGCGUGUGUGAAGAAGGUCUUCGGAUUGUAAAGCACUGUAAGUUGGGAGGCGGUACCUACCGAAUAAGCAACGGCUAACUUCGUGCCAGCAGCCGCGGUAAUUC
rnacentral:rRNA from 1 species